GACGAACGCUGGCGGCGUGCCUAAUACAUGCAAGUCGAACGCAUUUUCUUUCACCGUAGCUUGCUACACCGAAAGAAAAUGAGUGGCGAACGGGUGAGUAACACGUGGGUAACCUGCCCAUCAGCGGGGGAUAACACUUGGAAACAGGUGCUAAUACCGCAUAAUUCCAUUUACUGCAUGGUAGAUGGAUGAAAGGCGCUUUUGCGUCACUGAUGGAUGGACCCGCGGUGCAUUAGCUAGUUGGUGGGGUAACGGCCUACCAAGGCUGCGAUGCAUAGCCGACCUGAGAGGGUGAUCGGCCACACUGGGACUGAGACACGGCCCAGACUCCUACGGGAGGCAGCAGGAGGGAAUCUUCGGCAAUGGACGCAAGUCUGACCGAGCAACGCCGCGGGAGUGAAGAAGGUUUUCGGAUCGUAAAACUCUGUUGUUAGAAAAGAACAAGGAUGAGAGUGGAAAGUUCAUCCCUUGACGGUAUCUAACCGGAAAGCCCCGGCUAACUACGUG
rnacentral:rRNA from 1 species